UUGCGCAAGUGAUGCCUUGAUCAGCAAUAUUCGCAAUCCAGUGCUGGGUGGUGCGGCGUAAGCUUUAUCUCAACUUCAGCCCCCGGCAGAAACGGACACGGCACAGCAUCCCCGCCGUGACCACCGAAGGUCUUACCAAGACCGAAGGUCCGGGCCCCCGGUGCUCACGAGGCGCCGCGCGAAGAAGCCGUUAUCAUCGGCCCGACGAAUCGAAGAGACCACGCCCAGGCGUGGUCU
rnacentral:sRNA from 1 species